AGGGUAAUAGUUAAUUAUAACAUUUAACUUGCAUUUAAAAAGUAUUGGCUUACAAUUUACCUUA
rnacentral:tRNA from 1 species